rnacentral:rRNA from 1 species
AACGAACGCUGGCGGCAUGCCUAACACAUGCAAGUCGAACGAGACCUUCGGGUCUAGUGGCGCACGGGUGCGUAACGCGUGGGAACCUGCCCUUAGGUUCGGAAUAACUCCCCGAAAGGGGUGCUAAUACCGGAUAAUGUCUUCGGACCAAAGAUUUAUCGCCUUUGGAUGGGCCCGCGUUGGAUUAGCUAGUUGGUAGGGUAAAAGCCUACCAAGGCGACGAUCCAUAGCUGGUCUGAGAGGAUGAUCAGCCACACUGGGACUGAGACACGGCCCAGACUCCUACGGGAGGCAGAAGUGGGGAAUAUUGGAAAAUGGGCGAAAGCCUGAUCCAGCAAUGCCGCGUGAGUGAUGAAGGCCUUAGGGUUGUAAAGCUCUUUUACCCGGGAUGAUAAUGACAGUACCGGGAGAAUAAGCGCCGGCUAACUCCGUG